GAUAACCCUGUCUUUGAUAAUCAUUUUAAAUUGAUUAUUUUAAUACUACAGUGUAGACUUCAUCUGUAAUAGUGGAAAUGGUUGUCAUUGUUGUGUAGCUACAGAACCUUUUCAGUUAGCUCAAAUACUAUUGCCAACCUGCCGAAAUAAUUUACAGACAAUAUAUUAUCCUAAUGAUGUAGGUUUUCUUUGGUCCUAAACUUAACCUGCAAGUGGUAUUGAGUUUGGUUCCUUAUUGCAGUAAAGUAUGAUCAUCAUACUUUCCUGGGAGUAUAGCAGACAAAUGGAACCUAUAGUGUAUUAAUGUGAGGUUGGAGUCCAAAUUUUUGUUGAGAAAGCCCAGUCUAAAAAGCUAAAAUAAUAUGGGAAUAGGUCAAUGUUAGAACCCUUGCAGAUUCUAAACUUGGGGUUGAUCUCUUUAGGGGAUCGGCCUCCUUGGAACCCUAUAGGGGUUCCUCCCUCCAAGUUGCUGCUCAAAGGCUGCAGAAAAGAUUCAUCUAUUGCUUAUGAAAAGGGAAGAAAUACAUGACUAUUUAUAGGGCUUCUAAACCCUAACUCCUAAUAGGACUCCUACUUAAGACUCUUAUUUCUAACCAACUCCUAGUAGGACUCAUAGUCAAGACUCCUAUUCCCUUACAACUCCUAAUUCUUCUCUAAGAAAACACCUCCUACUUGAAUGCCCCUCUCAAUUAGGACUCUCCUAGCUAGAGUCCUAACAGAAUGUCCCUCUCAAUUAGGACUCUCCUAGCUAGAGUCCUAACAGUUUUACAUGAAUGUCCCUCUCAAUUAGGACUCUCCAAGCUAGAGUCCUAACAGACCUGCCCUCUUCAAAUCAGUCUUGUCCUCGAGGCUGAUGAUUCGUGAAUUCUGGGAAUUUGAUCUUCAAGUCGUCAUAGUUCUCCUAAGUGGCAUCUUCUAUUGGUAGAUUCGCCCACUUUAUUAGCACUUCAUUAGUGGGUUGUCGUCGUCGAGUCACAAUCCGUCGAUCAAUAAUGGCACUUGGCUGGGUCUGGAGUUCUCUUUGGGUAGUCAUAUUUGGUGGGUGGUUUUGGGCUGUCUCCAAGCGCCUAUUUAAAACUUUCGUCUAGCUGUUGGUUUGUGGGUAAUAUGUCGUACUCCUUUUCAAUUUAGUACCCUGCAUAUGGAAUAACUUUGUCCAAAAUCUGCUCUUGAAGAUGCAAGUAGAAUUUGUCACAAGCACAAUGCGUCCCUUAUAGCAAAAUUCUUUUGAGUCCCGAUUGUAAUGAGCCAUGGGGCUUGGUGCUUCCUCCAAUUUUUUAUAAUCUUACUAGUAUCUGAAUCUUCCUACCAUUCCAUCUUAAUAUCCUCAAGGACGUCGCUGGUCGGAAGUGAAACGGCCGAAACUUCAACUUGCUCGGGUAGCUACGAAAGCGUAUAUGCAAGAACAUUCUCUUUCCCCUUUUUGUAAGUUAUUUCAAAAUCAAAUCCAAGAAGUUUUGUUACCCAUUUUUGCUGCUCAGGGGAUGGUAUCUUUCGCUCCAAAAAAUACUUGAGGCUUUUAUGGUCGGUUUUAUUUUGAAAUCGUCGACCAAUCAAGUAGGGUCUCCACCUCGUUGCUGCGCGCACAAUGGCGAGCAUCUCCUUAUCAUAUGUUGACUUAUUUUGAUGGGAGGGAGAUAAUGCCUUGCUAGUGUAUGCGAGUGGUCGACCAUCUUGCAUAAGAAUGGCUCCAAUUCUAACUCCAGAUGCGUCGGCCUCAAUAAUGAAGGGUCGGUUAAAAUCUGGUAGUGUUAGCACCGACGUCGUCGUCAUGGCUGCCUUAAGUUUGUCGAAGGUAGCGGAGGCUCUGUCAGACCAUUGGAAGAUAUCUUUUUUCAGUAAGGAAGUAAGUGGUGCAUUGAUCUCUCCAUAGUUUUUCACAAACUUGCAGUAGUAGCCUGUUAAACCCAGAAAGCCAUGUAGCAAUUUUACGUUUCUCGGGGUAGGCCAGUUUUGCAUUGCUUCAAUUUUGAAGGGGUCCAUUGUCACACCUUCCUCUGAUAUGAUAUGCCCAAGAUAUUCCACCUUCUGUUGAAGAAAGCAAUAAUUCGUAAGGGUUGUUGUGUGUUCAAAAGGUGGUUUUCGGUAUGUCUUCUUCGCACACUCAUAUUUGAUGAUACCCGGAUCAAAGGUUCAGCUUUGUAAAGAUUUGUGCUCCCUUUCAUCUAGUAAUUCAUCUGCUAUUGGAAUAAGGUAUUUGUCCUUGAUGGUUAUGCCAUUGAGAGCUCGGUAAUCAACGCAUAUUCGCCAUGUUCCGUCCUUCUUGCGUACAAGUAGCACUAGUGAAGAGUAGGGGCUGCAACUUGGCCGAAUAACUCCUGUUUCGAGCAUCUCUUUUAUAAUCCUUUCUAUUUCAUCCUUCUGGAGAUGUGGAUACUGAUUUAGCUGAGUAUUUGCUGGAGAUUUGCUUGGAAGAAUCAUUAAACAAUGAUCAUGCCGAUGGGUAAGAGGUAGGUUGCACGGUUCCAUAAAUAUAUCUGAAAAUUCAACAAGCAAAGGAAGUAGGUUUGAAUCGUUAAAUUCUAUUAGCUCUCCCUUUGUUUGUUGCUCAAGUUGUACCAAGAAUCCGCUGCAUGCUUUAUGCAAAACCUUCUCCAUUUGUUGUGUGCAAAUCAUCGUUACGUCGCCCUCACGUUUCCCGUGCAGUAUCACCUGUUUCUCUUUACUGCAAAAUUUCAUAAUUAGUUGCAUAAAAUUCCAAGAAACAUCACAUAAUGUCAUCAACCAUUCAAUUUUGAGCAUGGUCUUAUGAUCGUCACGAGCGAGAAGGAAGAAAUCUGAAAUUAUCUUGUGGUCCUGCAGCAACAGUUUCACUCGCGGGCGCCUACAAUCAUACUUCAAAAUCCAUUCGUCGGCGACCUUAAUGUCAAGCCUACUGCAAUUCUUGAUAGGGACUCGGUCGACAGUAGGAGGGGCUGAGGGCUUCAGUAUUGCUGGUUGAGGAGUGACCAUAGUCCUCCGAGCUUCAUGAUUCAAUUGCUCCUCUUGAUGUCGUGCGAAAGAGAUAGCUGCCAUAAGCGUGUAUGGUUGUCGCGCUUUAACUUCUUCCCGGAUCUCCGGCUUCAAGCCCUCAAUGAAGGUCCUCAAUAGCUGUUUUUGAGACCAAUCACAAGUUUGAUUAUAUAACCUUUCAAACCUGGUUUGGUACUUCCGAAUGGUGGAGGUUUGUUGGAUCUUUGCUAGUUGUCCGUCAAUAUUCUCGUAAUCGGUUGGUCUGAAGCGGAUCAGCAGUCCUUCUUUGAAUUGUUGCCAUGAAAAGACUCCAUAAGUAUAUGUUCAAACCAGUCAAACCAUUGUAUGGCAUCCCCUUCAAGAUGUAUAGCCGCAAUUUUCACCAUAGAUGCGUCUGUGGUUUUGUGGUACCGAAAAUAUCACUCCGCGCGUGAGAUCCAACCAAUCGGGUCUCCUUCUUCCCAUUUAGGGAAGUCCACUCUCAUGCAUGGAUAGUUGAGAUCAGUCAUAGUGCCUCCCCUCCCUUGAAAGUCAUCUCUUCGGGCUUGGUGCGAUUGGGCAAAGCUCUCUCCGUGAUAUGAUUUUUUUCGGGCUUAGUAGUCGGCCCAAUCUGAGUUCAGUAAAGAGCGUCCGAAUCUUAUCCUCCAUUCGCGCCUCCAAGGUUUCGAAUUUAGCAUCGAUUGCCUCCUUAGAUGCCAUAGUAUAUGCCUCUAAAUCUAUGAUGUUAAGAUCUCUCUUUUGUUGUCAGGUUAAAGGCAUAUAUAGGUUGAGAGAAGUGAUGGUCGAAAGGGUUGGUGGAUCGGUGGAUGUAGGCUACGAUUUAGGCUUGUUUUGUGGCUGUUUUGGGUGCAGUUUGAGGGUUUGGUUUGGUGGAGUUUUAGGGCUGUGGAUGAAAGUUUUGGAUCUGUGGUAGAUGACAGCAAAGGUUUGAGAGAAAUCAGUGGAAAUUGCAGCAAGUAUGUGUUGUCUUGUAAGAGCAGAAUUGUCGUCGAAGAAACAGCGGUUUCUCGACGUAAUUUCCACCAAAAACUUGAAAGAAUUGAGGAGGGAAUUGAUAGCAAAAUCACAGUUUAUAUGACAGCAAGGAUGACUAAUUUAAUCAAGAAAAUUUCGGCAGUAUAAUAGCAAGGAAAUUGGUGCAAUUUGCGAUAGCAGAAUUCUCGUCGAAAAAUUUCAGCAGUUUACGAUGAAAAUUUAUAGCAACACAAAAAUCGGUUUUAGAGAUGAAUUCCUCAAUAGAUCAAUCUUAGAUGGAAGCCAAGAUGAUCUAUAAAGUGUAUAAGAAAUUUUAUUCAAAAAAGAUUGCAAAUAGAUGGGUUAAGGCAACAAUAUGCGGCUGAAAUUUUUUGCAGCAUAGAUUUUUAAGUAUAGCAGAUUGGACAUAAAAGAUCAGAAGUUUAUAUUGAGAAUUUUUUGAUGAAACCAAAGGGAAAUCCACUAUUAGGAAGUGUCAAAGCUAUCAUAAAAAUUUCGUAGAGAUUUGGAUAGAAACAACGUAGUAUCAAGAUCAAACAAUCAGUGUUAUGUGGCUGAAAUUUUACGGUGUAGAUUUUCAAGUAUAGCAGAUUAGAUGUAAAAUAUCAAUGGUUAAUUUGAGAAUUUUUUGACAAAACCAAAGGGAAAUCUGGUGUUAGGAAGUAUCAAAGAUGUCAUAAAAUUUCGUGGAGAUUUGGAUAGAAAAAACAUAGUAGCAAGAUCAAACAGACAGAGUGCUAUACGGUUGGAAUUCUGCAAUGUAUCUUUCGUCGUAGAGAUGAAAACUUUAUGACGAAAAGUUUAUGCAGCAAUAUAGGAAUAAUUUUUUUGGGAUUUUCAAAUAAAGAUAACUAAAUUGCAGCAGCAGUAAGGUAGAAAACCAGAACCUGUUGCAAUUCACGGGGAGAUCAAAGGAUGAUCCGUGGUGGUGGAGAUGAUGGUGGAAUUCGGCGAUGAUCUUUUAAGCAAUUGUGGGAAUUGCUUUGGACGGUUGUUGAGGGUUGAUGGAUGGCUGUGGAAGGGCAGCGAGACGCCAAGAACGCUGCUCUGAUACCAGGUGUUAGAACCCUUGCAGAUUCUAAACUUGGGGUUGAUCUCUUUAGGGGAACGGCCUCCUUGGAACUCUAUAGGGGUUCCUCCCUCCAAGUUGCUGCUCAAAGGCUGCAGAAAA